UACGUAGGGGGCUAGCGUUGUCCGGAAUCAUUGGGCGUAAAGCGCGCGUAGGCGGCCAACUAAGUCGGACGUGAAAUCCCCAGGCUCAACCUGGGAACUGCGUCCGAUACUGGAUGGCUUGAAUCCGGGAGAGGGAUGCAGAAUUCCAGGUGUAGCGGUGAAAUGCGUAGAUAUCUGGAGGAAUACCGGUGGCGAAGGCGGCAUCCUGGACCGGCAUUGACGCUGAGGAGCGAAAGCCAGGGGAGCAAACGGG
rnacentral:rRNA from 1 species